UGGGGAAUUUUGGACAAUGGGCGAAAGCCUGAUCCAGCAAUGCCGCGUGUGUGAAGAAGGCCUUCGGGUUGUAAAGCACUUUUGUCCGGAAAGAAAUCCUUGGCUCUAAUACAGUCGGGGGAUGACGGUACCGGAAGAAUAAGCACCGGCUAACUACGUGCCAGCAGCCGCGGUAAUACGUAGGGUGCAAGCGUUAAUCGGAAUUACUGGGCGUAAAGCGUGCGCAGGCGGUUUGCUAAGACCGAUGUGAAAUCCCCGGGCUCAACCUGGGAACUGCAUUGGUGACUGGCAGGCUAGAGUAUGGCAGAGGGGGGUAGAAUUCCACGUGUAGCAGUGAAAUGCGUAGAGAUGUGGAGGAAUACCGAUGGCGAAGGCAGCCCCCUGGGCCAAAUACUGACGCUCAUGCACGAAAAGCGUGGGGAGCAAACAGGAUUAGAUACCCUGGUAGUCCACGCCCUAAACGAUGUCAACUAGUUGUUGGGGAUUCAUUUCCUUAGUAACGUAGCUAACGCGUGAAGUUGACCGCCUGGGGAGUACGGUCGCAAGAUUAAAACUCAAAGGAAUUGACGGGGUCAUAGCUGUUUCCU
rnacentral:rRNA from 1 species